rnacentral:rRNA from 1 species
UGGGGAUGACGUCAAGUCCUCAUGGCCUUUAUGUCUAGGGCUACACGCGUGCUACAAUGGUGAGGACAAAGAGACGCAAGACCGCGAGGUGGAGCAAAUCUCACAAACCUCAUCCCAGUUCGGAUUGCAGGCUGAAACUCGCCUGCAUGAAGCCGGAGUUGCUAGUAAUCGCGAAUCAGCAUGUCGCGGUGAAUACGUUCCCGGGCCUU